UGGGGAAUUUUGGACAAUGGGCGCAAGCCUGAUCCAGCCAUGCCGCGUGAGUGAAGAAGGCCUUCGGGUUGUAAAGCUCUUUCAGGUGGAAAGAAAACGCAUGGGUCAAUACCCUGUGUGGAUGACGGUACCAUCAGAAGAAGCACCGGCUAACUACGUGCCAGCAGCCGCGGUAAUACGUAGGGUGCGAGCGUUAAUCGGAAUUACUGGGCGUAGAGCGUGCGCAGGCGGUGAUGUAAGACAGAUGUGAAAUCCCCGGGCUCAACCUGGGAACUGCGUUUGUGACUGCAUCACUCGAGUACGGCAGAGGGAGGUGGAAUUCCGCGUGUAGCAGUGAAAUGCGUAGAUAUGCGGAGGAACACCGAUGGCGAAGGCAGCCUCCUGAGCCAGUACUGACGCUCAUGCACGAAAGCGUGGGGAGCAAACA
rnacentral:rRNA from 1 species